AACCUUACCAGGUCUUGACAUCCGAUGCUAUUCUAGAGAUAGAAAGUUACUUCGGUACAUCGGUGACAGGUGGUGGCAUGGUUGUCGUCAGCUCGUGUCGUGAGAUGUUGGGUUAAGUCCCGCAACGAGCGCAACCCCUAUUGUUAGUUGCCAUCAUUCAGUUGGGCACUCUAGCGAGACUGCCGGUAAUAAACCGGAGGAAGGUGGGGAUGACGUCAAAUCAUCAUGCCCCUUAUGACCUGGGCUACACACGUGCUACAAUGGUUGGUACAACGAGUUGCGAGUCGGUGACGGCGAGCUAAUCUCUUAAAGCCAAUCUCAGUUCGGAUUGUAGGCUGCAACUCGCCUACAUGAAGUCGGAAUCGCUAGUAAUCGCGGAUCAGCACGCCGCGGUGAAUACGUUCCCGGGCCUU
rnacentral:rRNA from 1 species